rnacentral:rRNA from 1 species
GUGAAGCGGCAACAGCUCAAAUUUGAAAGCUAGCCUUCGGGUUCGCAUUGUAAUUUGUAGAGGAUGAUUUGGGGAAGCCGCCUGUCUAAGUUCCUUGGAACAGGACGUCAUAGAGGGUGAGAAUCCCGUAUGUGACAGGAAAUGGCACCCUAUGUAAAUCUCCUUCGACGAGUCGAGUUGUUUGGGAAUGCAGCUCUAAAUGGGAGGUAAAUUUCUUCUAAAGCUAAAUAUUGGCGAGAGACCGAUAGCGCACAAGUAGAGUGAUCGAAAGAUGAAAAGCACUUUGGAAAGAGAGUUAAAAAGCACGUGAAAUUGUUGAAAGGGAAGCGCUUGCAAUCAGACUUGUUUAAACUGUUCGGCCGGUCUUCUGACCGGUUUACUCAGUUUGGACAGGCCAGCAUCAGUUUCGGCGGCCGGAUAAAGGCUCUGGGAAUGUGGCCUCCACUUCGGUGGAGGUGUUAUAGCCCAGGGUGUAAUACGGCCAGCCGGGACUGAGGUCCGCGCUUCGGCUAGGAUGCUGGCGUAAUGGUUGUAAGCGACCCGUCU